GAUCCCAGAGGUCUUCUCCAACCACAAUGAUUCUAUGGUUCUGUGGUUCUGUGAUGCUCUGCCCGUGUCACAGGCACCCCCGGCGACAGCCCUGUGGGUGCUUCCCAGUGCGUGCGGACAGGCAGAGCUGCUGGCCUCAACACAGCUGUGUCCCUGAGUCACUUAUGGGAUGAAGCCAGGAGAAAAUACAGUGGCACACAGACCAAUAUAGCUUGGAAUGUCACGAUAGGAGAGUUAACAGUGCUCAGCUCUCGGACCUGCUGGCUGGAGAUUGGGACAUGCGCUGGUUUCCAGAUCCACCAAGCAAGGCUGAGAGAAACACCCAAUAAACAUGGCACAGGGAGCUUGGGUUUGUGCAGUGACACAGGCAGAGUGCUGCUCAAGAGCCCUCCAGUCUCAUCUCAUUAGAUAGUAUCAACCAUUUAGAGCGUCACGUAACUUUUGAUCCCCUGUUCUUUUAACAUAAAUGAAUUAAAACAUUACUGUCUGACGGCAAAUAUUUCCCCUGCCUGUACUUCCACAGCUUCUCUUUGCAGUGAGGAAGAACAGUGCGCAACAGGCUUAGAAAAAGCCAGCUCUGGCUGUUAUUAAUGCAGGACCUGGCAGCCCUGCUCUCAAGACCAGCUCCUGCGAAUCUUUCUCCCCCUUUUCAGCUCUUUUCUUCAGAACCAUGUGACUGUGAACAAAGGGCUUCAAGGGUCUGGUGAGCUGUAAGUAAGUUAUUUGCAAGCUGUAUAAAAGUAGU
rnacentral:lncRNA from 1 species